rnacentral:rRNA from 1 species
AGAGUUUGAUCCUGGCUCAGGACGAACGCUGGCGGCGUGCUUAACACAUGCAAGUCGAACGGUGAAGCGGAGCUUGCUCUGCGGAUCAGUGGCGAACGGGUGAGUAACACGUGAGCAACCUACCCUUGACUCUGGGAUAACAGUUGGAAACAGCUGCUAAUACCGGAUAUUUACCCCGGCAGGCAUCUGCUGGGGUAGAAAGCUCCGACGGUCAAGGAUGGGCUCGCGGCCUAUCAGCUUGUUGGUGAGGUAACGGCUCACCAAGGCGUCGACGGGUAGCCGGCCUGAGAGGGCGACCGGCCACACUGGGACUGAGAUACGGCCCAGACUCCUACGGGAGGCAGCAGUGGGGAAUAUUGCGCAAUGGGGGAAACCCUGACGCAGCAACGCCGCGUGCGGGACGAAGGCCUUCGGGUUGUAAACCGCUUUCAGCAGGGACGAAGGAUUUCUGACGGUACCUGCAGAAGAAGCACCGGCUAACUACGUGCCAGCAGCCGCGGUGAUACGUAGGGUGCGAGCGUUGUCCGGAAUUAUUGGGCGUAAAGAGCUUGUAGGCGGUCCGUCACGUCGGAAGUGAAAACUCAGGGCUUAACCCUGAGCCUGCUUUCGAUACAGGCGGACUUGAGGGAUGUAGGGGAGAACGGAAUUCCUGGUGGAGCGGUGGAAUGCGCAGAUAUCAGGAGGAACACCAGUGGCGAAGGCGGUUCUCUGGACAUUUCCUGACGCUGAGAAGCGAAAGCGUGGGGAGCAAACAGGAUGAGAUACCCUGGUAGUCCACGCCGUAAACGGUGGGCACUAGGUGUGGGACCCUUCCACGGGUUCCGUGCCGUAGCUAACGCAUUAAGUGCCCCGCCUGGGGAGUACGGCCGCAAGGCUAAAACUCAAAGGAAUUGACGGGGGCCCGCACAAGCGGCGGAGCAUGCGGAUUAAUUCGAUGCAACGCGAAGAACCUUACCUGGGUUUGACAUAUACCGGAAACAUCUGGAGACAGGUGCCCCGCAAGGUCGGUAUACAGGUGGUGCAUGGCUGUCGUCAGCUCGUGUCGUGAGAUGUUGGGUUAAGUCCCGCAACGAGCGCAACCCUCGUUCUAUGUUGCCAGCGGUUCGGCCGGGGACUCAUAGAAGACUGCCGGGGUCAACUCGGAGGAAGGUGGGGAUGACGUCAAGUCAUCAUGCCCCUUAUGUCCAGGGCUUCACGCAUGCUACAAUGGCUGGUACAAAGGGCUGCAAUACCGCAAGGUGGAGCGAAUCCCAUAAAGCCAGCCCGGUUCGGAUUGGGGUCUGCAACUCGACCCCAUGAAGUCGGAGUCGCUAGUAAUCGCAGAUCAGCAACGCUGCGGUGAAUACGUUCCCGGGCCUUGCACUCACCGCCCGUCA